UCUUAUGAAGUUAGCGGCGGACGGGUGAGUAACACGUGGGUAACCUGCCCAUAAGACUGGGAUAACUCCGGGAAACCGGGGCUAAUACCGGAUAACAUUUUGAACCGCAUGGUUCGAAAUUGAAAGGCGGCUUCGGCUGUCACUUAUGGAUGGACCCGCGUCGCAUUAGCUAGUUGGUGAGGUAACGGCUCACCAAGGCAACGAUGCGUAGCCGACCUGAGAGGGUGAUCGGCCACACUGGGACUGAGACACGGCCCAGACUCCUACGGGAGGCAGCAGUAGGGAAUCUUCCGCAAUGGACGAAAGUCUGACGGAGCAACGCCGCGUGAGUGAUGAAGGCUUUCGGGUCGUAAAACUCUGUUGUUAGGGAAGAACAAGUGCUAGUUGAAUAAGCUGGCACCUUGACGGUACCUAACCAGAAAGCCACGGCUAACUACGUGCCAGCAGCCGCGGUAAUACGUAGGUGGCAAGCGUUAUCCGGAAUUAUUGGGCGUAAAGCGCGCGCAGGUGGUUUCUUAAGUCUGAUGUGAAAGCCCACGGCUCAA
rnacentral:rRNA from 2 species